UGAUGUUAUUACACAAAUUGUUGUACUAUAUGACGACCUUUCGUCGAUUUUUUUUUUUUCCAUUCAAUUUUUCCUCUUCCUAGUAAGUGGCACCAUGUUGUUGCAAGUGAAACCAUUGUGGUAAGAUCCACCGUAACUUCCACAUUGCACAACGUGUGACCUUUCAAGAAUAUCAGUACUAAUCAUAAAUAACUGCAAUGGUCACAUAUUAUAGCACUGAUCACAAAUUUAAAUGUUACAACUUGAUGGUUAGAAAAAUAUAGGACCAGUCACCAAUUAAAUAUAUUAUACAUAUUAGAAGGUCACAAAUAAAAGUAUUGAUCAAAAUAAAAUUCCUGGUCACAUAAAACGGAAGUGGUCACAAACAUAAAGGUUAGAAAUCUAAAUAUUUAGAAUACCAUCAAUAGUCACAAAUUGAAUAUAAUAUAUACAGAAGACGUUCACAAAUAGAUGCAUUGGUCGCAAUAUAAUACAAAUCACCAUUCAGCUUAUGCUUAUUGUAAUAAUAAUCCCACAAUCGCAUAUAGGUACCUUGACAGAUGUUGAUGCAAUUGAAACAGAAAUUCUCCAUAGCUACGUGACCUCAUAAGCUGGAAUGAAUUUGUAAUAUGUUGAUUUUGAAUUUUGCACAAUCAAAUCACCAGAAUGCUAUAAUUGAUUCUGACAACUGUAGAUAGAUGAGUGAAUAUUGGUUACAGUGAAUUGAAUUGGAGAAGUCACAACAUAAGUUUAGCAAGAAGUAGAGGCCACAAUGAAUUACACACCAGCUGUUAAUCCAUAGUCAAUAUUAUUGUAAAUUGGUAGUAAAAACUUUCAAAAUUUCAUACCUGUACAAAAUCCAUAAUGUGUCCGAACUGUGAUAAAAAAAGAUGAUUCAGUUAAUGAAGAAACAUAAUGACACGACCCGUCCCGAAUCAUCCUAAUAGACCCGACACGUGUCGUGCGCCGAUAGUAGAUACCAGUUAAGUGUCGGACCCACCAUCAAGGCAACAUUGACUUGUAUUGACUAUGAUAUGCUUUGUAAAAAUUUUGGCAGAGUUCCCCCUGAAUUAUAGACUAAAACCACCUGAAAUAUAUAAUCCAAUAUCCCAAACAGAUACAUAUAGUUUAAAAUAGGGUACACUGGCUCACAGAAAAUGAACUAUUCAAAUACAACACUAGCAAUUUGACCUUUGCAACAAUUUAUAAAUCACAGUACCCAAAAUGCAUAAUAUAUACAAAACAUAGCAGGCCCAAAACAUGGAACUAAUUUCUGACCAAAAGAAGUGUUUAUUCCAAACUAUGAAUUGUUAAACUGAUAAGAUGAGUCAUACAAUGCUUGACAAUUUAUAGUUCAACUCAAUAGAUCAACUGGCCUAGUAGUGCUCAACUCAGCAUCUAUCUAAUAAGAGAAAUUGUAAAAAAAAUGUGAGCCUAUAACUCAGUGAGUGGAUAAUUUUGUAAAUAAAAAUACUUUUUUCAUUUAUGCUAACAUUCUAAAAAUGUUAACUUUAUUAAAUCCUUGAGAAUUUCUGAAUCUAGUAAUACUUUUAAAAACUAAACAUGAUUACAUUAUAAAAUUCUUUGUUCUAAAUUCUAGAUAAGUAUCUGUAAGGUAUAACAAAUAUAAAGAAUCUGAUAUUCAUGAAAAUCUAUGAAAUAUUGCUGCUACUCAAUACUAGAAGCUGAAAACUUUAUUCUAAAAACUGAAUUAACUGAAUUCCAUAAAUACUGAAAAAUCACACAAAAAAGAGUACCCAAUGAAUAGCCUUACUCAUGUACCGAGUAAUCUCAAUGUACAAGGCAAAGCCAUUCAAAUCUGAUAAUCUGGU
rnacentral:lncRNA from 1 species